CUUCAGAGGAGCCUAGAGAGAGAAGACUCAGUCCCUCCAACCCAGUGCUACCACAAGCCCUCUGGUCCCUUCUCCACCCAUCUCCCGUACCCCAUCACCUUCAGGAGCCUCCUGGAAAUCUCUGCAUUAGCCAAGAAGGGAUCCAGGGACUUUUGUCCUGGGAGGGUGCAUAUGACACCAUGAGGAGAUUAGGGGGAUCCUCAUGACCCCGGAGUGUGAAUCGCAGCAUGUGGGGCACAACAUGGGAACCCACGAGGACUGUGCGGCCAAAGGCCCGGCGCUCUAUCACCAGGAUGCUGAGUGGGGGCUGCAGAGACCAGCUAUAUUCCUUGAGACAUCCUUCAGCAUGCGUGGCUACUUUACUCGUUCCACUGAGCCAAGAGAGCUCCACCUAUCUGUGAAUUAUUCCCAGGAUCAGCAAACUACAGUCCAUGGGCCAAGUCUGGCCUGCUGCCUGAUUUUGUAAAUAAUGUUUUA